CGCCGUCCUGGCGGAGGAGGAGACGUCCGCGGUCUGCCGGGCCGCCGACCGCUGGUCGCACGACGGGCGUCCGGCCCGCCGGGCCGCGGC
rnacentral:tRNA from 1 species